AUUGAACGCUGGCGGCAUGCCUUACACAUGCAAGUCGAACGGCAGCACGGACUUCGGUCUGGUGGCGAGUGGCGAACGGGUGAGUAAUGCAUCGGAACGUGCCAUUGAGUGGGGGAUAACGUAGCGAAAGUUGCGCUAAUACCGCAUAUUCUGUGAGCAGGAAAGCAGGGGACCGCAAGGCCUUGCGCUCUUUGAGCGGCCGAUGUCAGAUUAGCUAGUUGGUGAGGUAAAGGCUUACCAAGGCGACGAUCUGUAGCGGGUCUGAGAGGAUGAUCCGCCACACUGGAACUGAGACACGGUCCAGACUCCUACGGGAGGCAGCAGUGGGGAAUUUUGGACAAAUGGGGGCAACCCUGAUCCAGCCGUGCCGCGUGAGUGAAGAAGGCC
rnacentral:rRNA from 1 species